UAAUAUCUUGUACAUAAAUUGGUGGAUUAAUGCUGGGAGAGCACUAAGUCUUGUAAGUAGAUGUAGAAUAAUAAUGGUUCAAGUUAGUACGGAUCUCAGAUCUCUGACCUCUACCAACUUGGUUAUAGCACAAUCAUUGUUCAGAAUAAUAUGGAUUUUUUAAAGAUAAAUUAUCUUACUCUUACGAGCUUGUCCCCCCUCCAGGUCUCAGGAACAUGUCGGAGGUGCUGCUCAGCCACCAUCAGCACAAAUGGUGGAAGAACUAGCUGAUUCAUUCUCAGAGAAACUGCUUGAUGGUACAGAAACACAGAAACCAAUGCAUGAUGAGAUCGAGAAAGGAGCAAAUAACAACACAAUCUUUAGUCCCAAGCAAGUUGGAUUAGGCAUAUCAUACAGCGAGAUGUUGGCGGACGAGGAAGAAGACAUGGUUAAAUACCGUCGCUUCUGGGAACAUUUCUGGGGCAGCUCGUCGGGUUCCUUCAAAGACUACAGUAACCUACUUAUCUGAUUCAUGCUCUUCUUUUCUUCUUACUCUAUUAUUAUGUCUGAAGCAGAUUAAUUGUUCCUUGUAGUAGCUUGCUCAUGUGAACCUUGAUUUUUUGCUUUCUACUUAGUAAAUACUACUACUCACCAGAAUAUAAGACGUUUUGGUAGGCUAUCUUAUAUUUUGGAACAGAGGUAGUACCUCUGCUCCUCUAAACAAGACAUAUAUUUUUAGUCAAAAGAAAACAUAGUGUAAAUUUGACCAAUCUUACGGACAAAAAUAUGAACUUCCACAAAAUUUAAUAAAUAUAGUAUGAAAAUAUAUUCUAUGGUGGAUAAUCGAAAUUGAUUUGGGAUUCUAGAUGUUCAUAUCUUUGUAUAUAUGAUUGGUCAAACUUACUAUGUGUUGACUUUUGACUAAAUUUAUAUGCCUUCUUUUGAGGAACGGAGGGAGUAACUAGAAAGAGCUCUUUUUGCAUUUUCAACUCCCAUACUUUAUACAUAUGGAUCCAUCCCAGCACAUGCUAGCCUCCACAGUUGCUUGCAGAUAUUCUCCAUCAAAGUCAUGGAGAAUGAACUUUGGAGAAUCAGGUGGCCGGUGGAGGUAUACGGCUUUAUUGCUGCUCGAGACACCAUGGAUCACAAUCGCAACCUUCUGUUCAGCCGCACAAGGGAUGACCCCCAAAUUUUCACUCCUCAGGAUCCAUUCUUGC